AGCGAACGCUGGCGGCAGGCCUAACACAUGCAAGUCGAACGAACUCUUCGGAGUUAGUGGCGGACGGGUGAGUAACACGUGGGAACGUGCCUUUAGGUUCGGAAUAACUCAGGGAAACUUGUGCUAAUACCGAAUGUGCCCUUCGGGGGAAAGAUUUAUCGCCUUUAGAGCGGCUCGCGUCUGAUUAGCUUGUUGGUGGGGUAAUGGCCCACCAAGGCGACGAUCAGUAGCUGGUCUGAGAGGAUGACCAGCCACAUUGGGACUGAGACACGGCCCAAACUCCUACGGGAGGCAGCAGUGGGGAAUCUUGCGCAAUGGGCGAAAGCCUGACGCAGCCAUGCCGCGUGGAUGAUGAAGGUCUUAGGAUUGUAAAAUCCUUUCACCGGUGAAGAUAAUGACUGUAGCCGGAGAAGAAGCCCCGGCUAACUUCGUGCCAGCAGCCGCCGCCG
rnacentral:rRNA from 1 species